rnacentral:rRNA from 1 species
AAAAUUAUUUCUUGCCAGUAGUGAUAUGCUUGUCUCAAAGAUUAAGCCAUGCAAGUCUAAGUACGAGCUCUCGUACAGCGAAACUGCGAAUGGCUCAUUAAAUCAGUUAUGGUUCAUUUGAUCGUAUGGUUUACUUGGAUAACUGUGGUAAUUCUAGAGCUAAUACAUGCAAACAGCGCCGACUUCGCGGGAGGCGUGCUUUUAUCAGACCAAAAACCGACCGCGGCUCCGGCCGCGUUCGACUGGUGACUCUGGAUAACCUGGCGGAUCGCACGGUCUAGCACCGGCGACGGAUCAUUCAAGUGUCUGCCCUAUCAACUUUCGUCGGUACGGUAUUCGCCUACCGAGGUUCUUACGGGUAACGGGGAAUCAGGGUUCGAUUCCGGAGAGGGAGCCUGAGAAACGGCUACCACAUCCAAGGAAGGCAGCAGGCGCGCAAAUUACCCAUUCCCGACGCGGGGAGGUAGUGACGAAAAAUAACAAUGCAGGACUCAUUCGAGGCCCUGUAAUUGGAAUGAGUACACUUUAAAAGCUUUAACGAGUAUCCAUUGGAGGGCAAGUCUGGUGCCAGCAGCCGCGGUAAUUCCAGCUCCAAAAGUAUAUAUUUAAGUUGUUGCGGUUGAAAAGCUCGUAGUUGGAUUUUGGGCGCGGGCGGUCGGUCCGUCGCGAGGCGUGUACUGGUCGACCCGGCCUUACGUCCGGUUCUCCGGCGGUGCUCUUGACUGAGUGUCGGCGGCGGCCGGAAAGUUUACUUUGAAAAAAUUAGAGUGUUCAAAGCAGGCUCUCGAGCCUGAAUAAUGGUGCAUGGAAUAAUGGAAUAGGACCUCGGUUCUAUUUUGUUGGUUUUCGGAGCGCGAGGUAAUGAUUAAGAGGGACAGACGGGGGCAUUCGUACUGUGCCGUUAGAGGUGAAAUUCUUGGAUCGGCGCAAGACGAACGACUGCGAAAGCAUUUGCCAAGAAUGUUUUCUUUAAUCAAGAGCGAAAGUCAGAGGUUCGAAGACGAUCAGAUACCGUCCUAGUUCUGACUAUAAACGAUGCCAACUAGCGAUCGGGGAGCGUUAAUUUGACGACCUCCCCGGCAGCUUGCGGGAAACCAAAGUCUUUGGGUUCCGGGGGAAGGUGGCU